UGUGGGAGCGGGCUUGCUCGCGAAGGCGGUGUGUCUGUCAAAUAUCAUGCAACUGACACGACGCCUUCGCGAGCAAGCCCGCUCCCACA
rnacentral:misc_RNA from 1 species